rnacentral:sRNA from 1 species
AAAAACAGAAUAAAAAAU